GGGCCCGUAGUAUACCGGUAACACGCCUCCAUGGCAUGGAGGAGUAGGGGGUCCGAUUCCCCCCGGGUCCACCU
rnacentral:tRNA from 1 species